rnacentral:rRNA from 1 species
CUGACAUGAGUAACGAUAAAGGGGGUGAAAAACCUCCUCGCCGGAAGACCAAGGGUUCCUGUCCAACGUUAAUCGGGGCAGGGUAAGUCGACCCCUAAGGCGAGGCCGAAAGGCGUAGUCGAUGGGAAACGGGUUAAUAUUCCCGUACUUCUUACAAUUGCGAUGGGGGGACGGAGAAGGCUAGGUGGGCCUGGCGACGGUUGUCCAGGUUCAAGUGCGUAGGCUUAAGAGUUAGGUAAAUCCGGCUCUUUUUAAGGCUGAGACACGACGUCGAGCACCUACGGGUGUGAAGUCAUUGAUGCCAUGCUUCCAGGAAAAGCCUCUAAGCUUCAGAUUGUAAGGAAUCGUACCCCAAACCGACACAGGUGGUCGGGUAGAGAAUACCAAGGCGCUUGAGAGAACUCGGGUGAAGGAACUAGGCAAAAUGGUACCGUAACUUCGGGAGAAGGUACGCUCUUGAUGGUGAAGUCCCUUGCGGAUGGAGCUGACGAGAGUCGCAGAUACCAGGUGGCUGCAACUGUUUAUUAAAAACACAGCACUGUGCAAAAUCGUAAGAUGACGUAUACGGUGUGACGCCUGCCCGGUGCCGGAAGGUUAAUUGAUGGGGUUAGACUUCGGUCGAAGCUCUUGAUCGAAGCCCCGGUAAACGGCGGCCGUAACUAUAACGGUCCUAAGGUAGCGAAAUUCCUUGUCGGGUAAGUUCCGACCUGCACGAAUGGCGUAAUGAUGGCCACGCUGUCUCCACCCGAGACUCAGUGAAAUUGAAAUCGCUGUGAAGAUGCAGUGUACCCGCGGCUAGACGGAAAGACCCCGUGAACCUUUACUACAGCUUGGCACUGAACAUUGACCCUACAUGUGUAGGAUAGGUGGGAGGCUUUGAAGCAGGUACGCCAGUAUGUGUGGAGCCGUCCUUGAAAUACCACCCUUGUAGUGUUGAUGUUCUAACGUCGACCCCUUAUCGGGGUUGCGGACAGUGCCUGGUGGGUAGUUUGACUGGGGCGGUCUCCUCCCAAAGAGUAACGGAGGAGCACGAAGGUGGGCUAAUCACGGUUGGACAUCGUGAGGUUAGUGCAAUGGCAUAAGCCCGCUUGACUGCGAGAAUGACAAUUCGAGCAGGUGCGAAAGCAGGUCAUAGUGAUCCGGUGGUUCUGAAUGGAAGGGCCAUCGCUCAACGGAUAAAAGGUACUCCGGGGAUAACAGGCUGAUACCGCCCAAGAGU